rnacentral:rRNA from 1 species
AGUGAACGCUGGCGGCGUGCUUAACACAUGCAAGUCGAACGAGAACGGGCUAUAGAUUGCUAUAGUUGUCAGCUAAGUGGCGCACGGGUGAGUAAUGUAUAGGUAAUAUGCCUCUUACUAAGGGAUAACAAAUGGAAACGUUUGCUAAUACCUUAUACUCCUUAUUAACAGAAGUUAAUAAGGGAAAGAUUUAUUGGUAAGAGAUUAGCCUGUAUUGUAUCAGUUAGUUGGUGGGGUAAUGGCUUACCAAGACUAUGACACAUAACUGUUUUAAGAGGAUGAGCAGUCAGACUGGAACUGAGACACGGUCCAGACUCCUACGGGAGGCAGCAGUGGGGAAUAUUGCACAAUGGACGAAAGUCUGAUGCAGCAACGCCGCGUGGAGGAUGACACAUUUCGGUGCGUAAACUCCUUUUAUAUGAGAAGAUAAUGACGGUAUUAUAUGAAUAAGCACCGGCUAACUCCGUGCCAGCCGCCGCGGUAA